AUUGAACGCUGGCGGCAUGCUUUACACAUGCAAGUCGAGCGGCAGCGCGGGGCAACCCUCGGCGGCGAGCGGCGAACGGGUGAGGAAUUCAUCGGAACGUACCCCGGACGUGGGGGAGUAACNCCGCGAAAGCGGCGCUAAUACCGCAUAUGCUCUGUGGAGGAAAGUGGGGGACCCUGUAAGGGGCCUCACGCUCUGGGCGCGGCCGAUGUCCGAUUAGCUAGUUGGGGGGUAAUGGCUCACCAAGGCGACGAUCGGUAGCUGGUCUGAGAGGAUGAUCAGCCACACUGGGACUGAGACACGGCCCAGACUCCUACGGGAGGCAGCAGUGGGGAAUUUUGGACAAUGGGGGCAACCCUGAUCCAGCCAUUCCGC
rnacentral:rRNA from 1 species